AUUGAACGCUGGCGGCAGGCCUAACACAUGCAAGUCGAACGAGUGGCGGACGGGUGAGUAAUGUCUGGGAAACUGCCUGGUGGAGGGGGAUAACUACUGGAAACGGUAGCUAAUACCGCAUACCAUCGGAUGUGCCCAUAUGGGAUUAGCUAGUGGGUGGGGUAACGGCUCACCUAGGCGACGAUCCCUAGCUGGUCUGAGAGGCAGACCAGCCACACUGGAACUGAGACACGGUCCAGACUCCUACGGGAGGCAGAAGUGGGGAAUAUUGGACAAUGGGGGAAAGCCUGAUGCAGCAAGGCCGCGUGUAUGAAGAAGGCCUUCGGGUUGUAAAGUACUUUCAGCGGGGAGGCGGUACCCGCAGAAGAAGCACCGGCUAACUACGUGCCAGCAGCCGCGGUAAUUC
rnacentral:rRNA from 1 species